AGGAAGGAGCCGCCACAGAGUUAAAUAAGGGGAGAAGGCCUUGCGGAGGAGCAAGGAAGCCCGGCCGAGUUCUCCGAGUUCUAGCGAUGAAUGAUGUCGGCCCCCUGACACACACGAAGGCUGCAUGAAGAAGUUAGAAGAACCUCCGUCAGCCUGGGUCCCCAGAUGACAUCUAGGAGAGGACCUCCCCGCCUCACCAACCAAACCUUCUGCCUGAGAAACAGAGAAAGAGAAACAGAAACAGACACCUCAACAGGGUCUUCAUGCCGCCAUCCACCCCCAGCCUCGGCCAACCAGAAUCAUGGGUGUGCUUGCCCUGUGUGCAAAGAGGCCCCAGGACACGAACCCAGGACCUUCCCCUGGGGUCCAGCAUCACAGAGCAUUGCCCCUGGUGCUUCCUGGAGACGGGCCUGGCCUGGAGAGUCGGGGUCUCCCCGAGAC